AUUGAACGCUGGCGGCAGGCCUAACACAUGCAAGUCGAACGAGUGGCGGACGGGUGAGUAAUGUCUGGGAAACUGCCUGAUGGAGGGGGAUAACUACUGGAAACGGUAGCUAAUACCGCAUACCAUCGGAUGUGCCCAGAUGGGAUUAGCUGGUAGGUGGGGUAAAGGCUCACCUGGGCGACAAUCCCUAGCGGGUCUGAGGGGAUGACCAGCCAAACGGGAACUGAGACACGGCCCAGACUCCUACGGGAGGACGCAGUGGGGAAUAUUGCACAUUGGGCGCAAGCCUGAUGCAGCCAUGCCGCGUGUAUGAAGAAGGCCUUCGGGUUGUAAAGUACUUUCAGCGGGGAGGCGUUACCCGCAGAAGAAGCACCGGCUAACUCCGUGCCAGCCGCCGCGGUAAUAC
rnacentral:rRNA from 1 species